rnacentral:rRNA from 1 species
UGGGAGGCUUUGAAGUGUGGACGCCAGUCUGCAUGGAGCCGACCUUGAAAUACCACCCUUUAAUGUUUGAUGUUCUAACGUUGACCCGUAAUCCGGGUUGCGGACAGUGUCUGGUGGGUAGUUUGACUGGGGCGGUCUCCUCCUAAAGAGUAACGGAGGAGCACGAAGGUUGGCUAAUCCUGGUCGGACAUCAGGAGGUUAGUGCAAUGGCAUAAGCCAGCUUGACUGCGAGCGUGACGGCGCGAGCAGGUGCGAAAGCAGGUCAUAGUGAUCCGGUGGUUCUGAAUGGAAGGGCCAUCGCUCAACGGAUAAAAGGUACUCCGGGGAUAACAGGCUGAUACCGCCCAAGAGUUCAUAUCGACGGCGGUGUUUGGCACCUCGAUGUCGGCUCAUCACAUCCUGGGGCUGAAGUAGGUCCCAAGGGUAUGGCUGUUCGCCAUUUAAAGUGGUACGCGAGCUGGGUUUAGAACGUCGUGAGACAGUUCGGUCCCUAUCUGCCGUGGGCGCUGGAGAACUGAGGGGGGCUGCUCCUAGUACGAGAGGACCGGAGUGGACGCAUCACUGGUGUUCGGGUUGUCAUGCCAAUGGCACUGCCCGGUAGCUAAAUGCGGAAGAGAUAAGUGCUGAAAGCAUCUAAGCACGAAACUUGCCCCGAGAUGAGUUCUCCCUGACUCCUUGAGAGUCCUGAAGGAACGUUGAAGACGACGACGUUGAUAGGCCGGGUGUGUAAGCGCAGCGAUGCGUUGAGCUAACCGGUACUAAUGAACCGUGAGG